rnacentral:tRNA from 1 species
GCUUUUGGAUAAGUGGUAGAAUGCUCGCCUGCCACGCGGGCGCCCCGAGUUCGAUUCCCGGCCGAUGCA